AACGGCCGUACCAUGCUGAAUAUACCGGUUCUCUUUAGAUCACCGAAGUCAAGCAUCAUUGGGCGCGGUCAGUACUUGGGUGGGUGACCCCCUGGGAACACUGCGUGCCGUU
rnacentral:rRNA from 1 species